CAAGGUGAGAGAUACGGAGGUAGAGCACUGAAUGUCCUAGGGGGUAUUGCACCUACCGAAGACUAUCAAACUCCGAAUGCCGUCAUCUUAUACUUGGGAGUCAGACUGUGGGUGAUAAGAUUCAUAGUCGAAAGGGCAACAGCCCAGAUCGUCAGCGAAGGUCCCUAAAUGUAAGUUAAGUGGUAAAGGAUGUGGGAUUGCACAGACAACCAGGAUGUUGGCUUAGAAGCAGCCACUCAUUCAAAGAGUGCGUAAUAGC
rnacentral:rRNA from 1 species